rnacentral:rRNA from 1 species
AUCUAUGACCAUACCACCCUGAACGCAUCUGAUUUCGUAUGAUCUUGGAAACUAAGCAGGGUCAGGCCUGGUUAGUACUUCGGUAGGGAACUGCCUGGAAAUACCGGGUGUUGUAGGCU